rnacentral:lncRNA from 1 species
CCACGACAUAAUAUGCAACCGAUUAGAGAAUAAUUUCAUCAAAAUUGAAGCUAAAGCCUAUAGGUCCCAGCGCAAGCAGCAGCCGCCUCAUACGCUGACCAUUCAAAUGGGAAACAGCUAUGUUCAUGCACAGCAGGGUAAGUGAAAUUUGAAAAUAAUCUAAUAAUUAUAAAUCAAACAGCUUAUCCAUAAGUCUUGUGGAAUAAACACAAGACAUUAGCCUGACCACUUUGCAAUGAUAACAUUCUCCCGCUUAUAUUUUUAGAGCGCCAGGCUACUGCUCACACGUCGUGGGUCUAAUCUACGCCUUGGACCUGGCAAGAGCCAGAGAUGCUGAGCUGAGCCAUACAUCAUCAACAACACAAACAAAGUCCUCCUGCACGAGUCUACCACAGCAGUGGCACAAGCCAAGGGGUAACAAAAUAAGGGCAGUGCCAAUAUCAUCGGUAGUUGUCGCUAAAGCCAAUGAAAACCGUAUGCGGCGACCAAUCGACUGUCGGUAUGCAGGAAGCAGGACCUUCUCAGUUACAGAGGAGAAAAUUGCUUUAUUAAAAAGGCAGACAGGAGCACCCAUCAGCUACUUGGUAAACAGACCCCCUGUUGACAUAACUGUAGGAUGAGAGAGAUACCCACUAGGAAGUGGUUUGAGCCAUCAGGUAAAUGAAUGAGAUGAAGCAGUAUUAAAGUAGAUAUUCUUUAUUGUGUACUUUAUAUGAAAUUCACUCAACUUGUAUGUACAGGGCAGUGCACCACGUCAGCGUCAUCUUCCUUGACCACUCAGCUCUUCUACAAACAGACAACCUUAAUCUUUGAUGAUAUGUGGCUGGAAGUUAGACAGCAUGCUGACUACAUACCAUAUUUGAUUUAUGUUCACAAGCCGGGAAAUCGGGAUUUGGCCUGACACAAUUUUAAACUUCUUUAUCUUUGCAAUAGCUCUUUCAACAUGAACCCUGUGCUUGGCUAUUCUUUUGGUCAUUUCAACAUCUGCAUGUGGCAUCUGUCUGUUUGCUCUUGCAAAAGGUGGAAUGUUAAGUUGCAAACCAAUCUCCUCAACUUCCUUCUCUAUUAGAAAGCCUUUAUCAACCAUCAAGCCAUCUCCUACAUUGAGAUAGCCACACUAAAUGUACCCCUUCAAAAUGUCAAGGAUGUUGCACUCAUUGAAAAUCUUUGUCAGAAAUUGCUCCGGUGAAGAGGGCAGACACAUAAAUGACUGCACCUCGUGGAUCACAGGCCACUAGAGACUUAAGGGUGUUAGUAGACUUGUAGGUGGAGUAAGUCUGACUCUGAAACACUAGUGAGCUUGGUCUCUGAAUCUUAAUGAAUGAAUGAAUGAUGCAUUUAUAUAGCGCUUUACUAUGUAUUGUUGUACACCCAAAGCGCUUUACAAUCAUGUGGGGGGGUCUCUCCUCAACUUAAGUUCCUUCACUUAAGUUCAGUGCAGACUAAGAUGGCAAAAGUAUUCGGAAAUUCUUCCUUAAAAUCUUAAGUUCAGUGCAGUCUAAGAUGGCAAAAGUAUUUGGAAAUUCUUCCUUAAAUUUAGCUGGCAUGUUCUCAGAAAUAACAUCCCUGUGUGGCCAAAUAGACAAUUUGCCAAGACUAUCAUACAUAUAGUCCACCCAGGAGUUGAUCAGUGUGCUGACACUCUGUAAACGGAUGUUAAAUCUGAAGGCUAGGUCUUUGUGGUCCAAAUUUUGUCUUAAUUUCAUUAAGGUCAGUAACAAUUGAGUACGCAGUGAAAGUUGUUUGAUCUCAUUAUUGACACGUUUGUAUGAGAGAGGAAUGUGUGUUUGUGGUGCACUUGGAUCAGUUGGAAUGUAAAAAAAUUGACAAGCUGUUAAAUUGCUCAUAAGA